rnacentral:lncRNA from 10 species
GGACAGCCGUGUGCACCGUGCGCUGGGCCGGGCGGGGAGCAGCUGAGGCCACGUUGGGGGACCCCGGGCCCGGGGCAGGGCUCUGGGAGAGUGGCCUAGCCGUGUGUGCGCCCCUAGCCCAGCGGCUUCACUCCCUCCCGAGGGCCCCGUGGCCGCGGCUUUAGGCGUCCAGAGGAUCGAUCGCCGCCAGACAUCCCUGGCCGUGAUUGCCCGAGCACUUGACCGCGAGGGAUGGGGGCGCCGCGGCCUCUGGGCAGGGGACUCCGGGCGCCCCGAGGGAGCAGCCGGGACCAGUGCCUCGCGGACGGAUUGUGCCCCGCUCCCCCAAGGGGGACCCGCGUCGACACGCUCCUCGGUCACCGUCCUCCUCCUGCCCGGGCGCCGCCUGCCUAAGGUGGCCCCAGAAAGCACAAACGGGUCGGGCGGAUCUGCCGCUGGCGCCGGCGCAGCCCUUCCCACGUGCUCCUUCCGGCUGAUUUAUUUCUCCACCACGAUGCCAGGCACGGGCACCCUGUGCCAAGCCUGGUUAAGCGCCAGGAGUCCAAAAUGCCUGCCAUAGUCCCUGCGCAAAGUUCACGGCCUCGUGCCAGGGACAGACAGCGCCCCCUCCCCACCCCAACACAGGGUGGUGAGUGCGAUGGCAGAAGGCGCGUGUCCCGGCGCCCCUCCUGGAGUAGGAGGGCUAAGCCUGCCCUGCGGGGAGACCGAAAGGCUGGGAGGGACCUAGGACUGUGGGGGCCUGGGGGGAGGGCUGCAGAAACCCCAGAGCAUGGUGGCAGAGGCAGGCACAGAAAGCAGGACAAAUCUCACACCUGACCCCAGCAAGCCUUUCCUGGCACACCUCUUGCCAAAUGCUGAGCACUCUGGAAACAGCCAGUGCAGGCGGCCUGUCCCGCCCCUGUAGCUGCUGCUGGGAGCCUCCCUCGCCUGCGUCCUCCCAGAAUCUGGCCUCACUUCUGCAGGCCUGGGGUAACAUCUUGGGGUCAGCGCCCCAGGAGAGGAGGCGCCUGGAGGCAGCAGAGAUGUUUAUGUAACAGCAGCCAGGCAGCCUGGAGGAGCAGAUUUUCCAUAGAAGGAAGCGCGGGGCUGUGCAGCUCCCAGGCUGAGGACUCUGCCCACCACGACGUCCUCUGCUCCUGAGAAGAGAGUGGCCCAUUCGGUGUCCACCCGUCAGGCCACCCAGCAGCCAGGCACGCUCAUAAGCCCGCGUUACGGAUGGUGCGGCCGGGUGCACAGGCCCGAGGGAAGCACAGGCCUCGGCCUCCCAGCUCCCAACCCCUGCACCACCCACAGCCGGGAGUACCCCAUGGACAGCUGUGGCCGAGGAGAAGCCAGGGAUGAGGGGGAUGGGCCUCACCUCCCCACCAGCCUGGGAAGGGGGUAGGCCCCUGGCAAGUAGGUGAGAAGCUUUUUCAUUCACAAGUUGUCCGGGCUCCCCAUUCCUCUUUGUCAGGCCAGCGGGUGUGGGCAGUCGGGGGAGGCUGGGGUCCUGACACAACAGGAGUACAUCUGCUGGCCUAGGGCCUGGAGACCUUCUCCUACAGGUCGGGAGGCAGCCCUGGGCAGCGGGCAUUGCGGGGACUAAAGAGAAACAAGAGCAGGUUGUGUGCAGGGCACCCCAGCCACUCCAGAAACCCAAUGGGAGGGUGGGGGCUAGGACCCCAAGAAGCUGAAUUGGGGUGCAGUGCCGCCAGGCCUCCCCUGUAGGAGUCACUUUGGGCUUCCUGUCCCAACUUGUGGUGGGAGCUGGGGCAAGGUUCCAGGGGUACCCCGAAUGAAUGGGGCUGUUCCCAAGCUGGCCAGGGAGCCUGGAAGCAGAUGAGAUGGGGCCGCAGAGCCUGGUUUGCGGAGGGGAGAGGCAGACGUGUCCUGCAGCCCUCUCUUCUUCAGAGGCCCCCUGCGGGUGCUGAGGGGAGAGUGGCUUAGGCGUUGCACCCCAGGAGACUGAACUGGGUCAGUUCCCCCUUGUUUGCUGCCAGAGAAAUGGGGGUACCAUUGUCAGGGUGAGCUAAGGAGGCCCUGCUGACAUUGGCCCAACCAGGCCCCUCCUUUGCGGCUGCUGUGGGGACUUUCGAGAGCAGAGCACACCCCUAAGUGCGUGGAGAGGUAAGCACAGCUGGUGAGCACACGGGGACAGCGACGGAGCUCAUGGAGACCCAGGUGACCUUAAAACACCCCAGGGCCGGCUCCGGCCCCAGAGAGAUGUGGUCCGAGUAGAGGGGGGUCAGCAGUGACCUGGUGGGUGGGUGUAUUUGAGGGGUGCCUGUGUUGAAAGCUCUGCAGUAGAUUCUAAGGAGCAGCCAGGGCUGAGACUCCCGGUGCUGAGCCCAAGGCCCCUUUCCUUCCUGCAGGAGUUCAUCUUGGCUCUUGCAGCCCCCAUGACCCUGUGGCGCUGGGGGGCGGCUAGCAUGAUGCUCCCCAUUUUUCAGGAGGGAAGCUGAGGCUCAGAGACAUCAUGAGGAUGCCAGCUCAAGGCCCAGCCAGGCCUUGGUCCUCAGCUGCUGUCAUCCAGUAGGCUCAAGCCCAGAGGCCUCCAGGGUGUCCAGCCUCCAGGGUGCCUCCUACGCAGCCUCCACGUCCCCAUCCACUGCAGCCCCUGACCAUCGGGCACACCGUGGGGCCUUCGCUGGCCGCCGGGCCUCAGGUUCUGCUGCACCAAGUGAUUUUUAAAGCCCCAUCUGCCUUUCUCCACUUAUAAAGAACUUGGGACAUUUCCUCGAGGUUGGGCAUUUUUCCAGAUGUGGUUUCAGUGUCUCGCUUGCUACCUGGUCCCCUGUGCUGGGCGGUCCGCUGUGACGCACCUGGCAGUCCUUGCUCUAGGAUGGAUUCGGGCCGGCCCUUGUUCUGAGAACAGAGAACGGCCCUUGUUCUGAGGAGGCUGGGGUCUGGAAUCUGCUUCCUGGUCCCCUGCUGUGUGCAGACAGCCACCGUCACCCAGGCCCAGGGGUGCCUGCAGGUGCUGGGCAUCUCACCCUGGCCCCCACAGGGGCUCCCCAUGCCCUGCACCCCUCGGUCUGUGCCGGGGACUUCCCUGCUCUGCUGUUGCAGGCCUCGUCCUUUGCCGAGGGGGUCUCUUUCCCACGUGUCCCUGAGACUCCUCAGCCAUCCCAGAGGCUCUCGGCCGUCUGAGCACCCCUGACCAUGAAGCCUUCCUGGCCCACUCUCUGUGUGUGAGGCAGAGCCCAUCCCUACCAUUCCGACCCACACCAGAGGCUCCGGAAGGUUUGCUGACUGACCUGUGACUGCAAGAAGCUGAAGGAAUGUGGGCGCAGACCCGGCAGGGGCUUUUCUUGGUGCAAAGUCAACUGGCUGUCCAUGCAAGCCUGCUGCUGUGGCCAGCCCUCCCGCCAGGCGCCUGGUACCCUCCCUGGACCCAGUUGCCAGGACAGUGAUCCCCAGCUGUGGCCAGGACUCUGCCCGGGGCCCUGUCUACUCAGUGUCUCCAGUGGUCCCCAUGCAGAAACUGCCCCCCUUGCUGCCCAUGAGGCAUGGGAUAGGGUCAGCAUCCGAGAGGCAGGCCCUGCUGUUCCCCUCUGCACAGAGGCUGGGGGAGUGAGUUGCCCGGGCAAGUCCCCGGGCAGGCACUGGGCCUCCUGAGCAGGUGAGCUGAGAAGGCCCCAGCUGGUGUAGGCCUCGAGAGCUGCAGGACUGGCCAUGGGGCAGACCUGGCAUUGUCAUUCUAGAGCUGGGCCUGGGGGGUGGCUGGUGCAGUGCAGAUCUCAGGUGGAGGCCACCUGCCCGUCCUUUCCACGUGGCUCAGGGCUCAGACCCACCUGCCUGUCCCUGGAAGCCCCUAGACUGCUCAGAGCACAGACCUCAGUGGGAAAGACAGUAGAUAGGCCUGGGUAUGGUCUCCCAGCCCUGAGAAGUGGGGAGCCCACUCAGACCUUUCCAGGACCCCAGGUCCCCUCAGCAGCCCACAGAGCGUGGGUGGAGCCUGGGCUGGGGUUGGGUCACUUGGGAGCCAAAGGCCCAUUUCUGCUGCUUCCAGGGAGUCCCAGGGAGACGGCAGAGGCAGUGCCUGGCUGGGGCCCUGGUUGGCGUGCCGUUUGAGGGGUGCAUGCACUGGGAAGUUGGCCAGGCCUGCCCAAAUCAGGGGGCUUCCAGGAGGAGAGACAUCAGGAGGAUGGGCACAGAGGCGGCUUAGCACCAGGGCUGGCACCUCCAGGUAGGGGCUGUGGGGGGCUGGACCAGACAGGGAGGCUGUCACGAUGCCUGGCUGUUGGAUGGGGGCACAGAGGCUCUGAGUGGGGUGGCAGAGCUUGGCCACCAGGUCCAUCUGCACCCCCCAUGCCCCCUCACUACCCCCAGACCCCCAUGAUCCCAAACUACUCAGUCCCAGGGACCCCUGCAGAGCCUGUGGUGGGGGUGAUCUUCCACCCUGCCUGGCCCCUGCCCACCUCACCUCAGAACUUUCUCCAAAAAGUAAGAGCCCCGGGGGACGAAACUUCGAGGCUCCACCCCUUGGGCUCUGGUACAAACCCCGAGCCUCCUCCGAGGGCUGAGUCACUGGGAAAGCCGGGAUGGGCUGGCCCCUCCCCCUCCCUCUCCUUCCUUCCUCCUUCCCCCUUUCUCGGUCUCCCUCUUUUUCUCUUUGCUUUACUUCUCUUUCUUGCCUCCCUCUCUCCCUCUCUUCUUUCGUUCCUUUCAUCUUCUUCCCUUCCUCCGUCUUUGCCUUUCUUCUUUUCUGAGGGUAAAAAUAGCUGGAAAAC